rnacentral:rRNA from 1 species
AAUCUUGCGCAAUGGGCGAAAGCCUGACGCAGCGACGCCGCGUGAGGGAAGGAGGCCUUCGGGUUGUAAACCUCUUUCAGGAGGGACGAAGCCACUCGGGUUAAUAGCCUAGAGGGUGACGGUACCUCCAGAAGAAGCCCCGGCUAACUACGUGCCAGCAGCCGCGGUAAUACGUAGGGUGCAAGCGUUGUCCGGAAUUAUUGGGCGUAAAGCGCUCGUAGGCGGUCUGUCGCGUCGGCUGUGAAAUCCCGAGGCUCAACCUCGGGUCUGCAGUCGAUACGGGCAAACUGGAGUACUGCAGGGGAGACUGGAAUUCCUGGUGUAGCGGUGAAAUGCGCAGAUAUCAGGAGGAACACCGGUGGCGAAGGCGGGUCUCUGGGCAGUAACUGACGCUGAGGAGCGAAAGCGUGGGGAGCGAAC